AACUGAAAACAAAACAUCAGAUAAGCAAUUUUGGCAUGUGCAGCACAUUCUCAAGCAGCACUAUGACAUAAUGUGUAGGCUACAGCUAUAUUUGUUAUAUCUGAAAUCAAGCCUCAUGUUUAUUUGCAACAUCUGAUUAAAACAAUAAUAAUACUACAGCAUCUAUUUCUGAGUCAUUUGUCUUGGGUAAUUUAUUUACUGAGAGCAUGAGUCACACAGUUAGAAAUGAGUCAUUCUCUAACUUUAUAUUAAUCUUACCCUUAGCAUCACAGAAUUCCUCCUUACCCAUAAAUUGUUGCAUGCUUUGGUUCUUUUCACAAUGCCAGAAUGCUGGUUUAUAUAGAAUAUUUAGGUUAGCUGUUGGAACAAGUAUCUUCACUUUAUGUAAUGCCAUUCACCCAGAAAGAUCUUAUGAUGAUUUAUAAAUGUGUGUAUUUUCAAACGUGUAUGAAGAUUGAGUUUUUUGUAUUCUUUGUUGCACCCAUAUAUAUGGUAUGGUAUUCUCAUGGUAGCAUGAGAACACAUGGCAACUUUAUACAGGAGCACCUGAUUGGAACUGCAAGCAAAUCCUUCAGUCUUUUGAAACAGCACAGGGGAAAUUGAGAAACAUCAAGGUUUCACUGGCAAUGGAAUCUGGCCAUUUACGUCUCUGUUUUUGCAAAAUUGGGUUUACCUUCUGAGAGUCAGAUCAGCCAGAGCUUGGCAAAACUCACCAUUUUGGUGGAAACCUUUCAGUUUCCUCAGAUUAGCUGCGUGCAAACUCUGAGUAAGGAAGCCUGGCCUGUUUGAAAACUUCACUCAUCCUUGGCUGGAGCAUGUUGUGACAGCAUGAGGCAGAACAACAUCAAAUUAAGAACUCUACGUUGAACUACACUUGGAAAUUCUCUACCUGCACAAGUCCGGAUAUGCCCAAAGGAUAGGCACUGUGCAUCCUGAUAGACUACUAAAAUACAGGCUUUAGAAGAGUAAAGGAAAAAAAAAGAGAUGACUUCACACAGAAACAGGAAAUGCCCUGGGUCAUUUUCUAUUGUCGAAGAACCAUUACUUUCAAGUGCUUUAGAGAUAAGUCACUGGUUGAGAAAUUUGUUUUCUAAAUGUGCCUUCUUUGCUUUCUAUCAUGUUGUAGGAUAACUGUGUCACUUAAUACUACACGUUUUACUUUUAUAUCUAAACUAAGAGGCUAGUAAAGAAAGCAAGGUUCCUCCUGGGCAAUUCAGGUUGUGGUCACGUUGUUUAGCUGUACCAAGCAGAAUAACAGCACUUCCAGAACAAGAAUUUAACCUAUGCCUGAAACAAUUCUGAGCACUUUUCUCCUCUCUUUCCAGGAAGCCCAAAUCCAACAUGUGAAGGUCAGUGGCGUGACUAUUCCACUCCAUCCACAUCUUCACAUGGGGUCAAGGAGAAGCCCAGAGUGCCCAACGCCAUGAUGACAUUCAGAGGAACAGUACGUAACGCCAGAGAACAGCACUAGCUUCUGAGGUCAAGACAGACAGGGGUGCUGCCAAGAAUAAAUGCAGCUAUGUCCUGGGUAUAAGAGCCAGACCGAUGAGUAAUACUACACUGAAAUACUGUAGUGGCUGCACUGUAACAUAUCCUGCUCCUUGGAUUUAGCCCGUCUUACAUAAGCAGUAAUCUUCUGGCCCCGGAACCUCAUCUUUUUGAGACACCUCAUAUUUUUGAGAUACUGCAGCAUCCAGUCUUGCAGCUUCUGCAUGAAACUAAUAAAUACGCAUAUAUCUUAAGAAAUAUCUUGGCAUUCAGCCAGUUUUACUACUUCUGCAUUGCACUGUUCUGGGUUUGUAUUGACCUCGUGCUCUAAUGUACUUCUUACUAAGUUUCUAGUAAAAUGACAGAACAACGGGUGAAAAUGUGAUCAUCAAUAGAAUGACUUCUUUCGGUAAAAUUUUCUGGGGCUGUUCUGAGGGCUCUGGAAUCAUUAGACCGCUACGUAUAGCCUAAAAUGUAUGUAACACUGCAAAAGAAGAAGCAGUAUUCUCAAAAAAGUCAUCCUAAGGAUUAAAGCUUGAGUUCCUUGCAAUAUGAAUAAUUGCCAUAAGAAGCUUAGAACUGAAAUAGAACUUCUGAAACCUCUAUUAGAAAAACAAAACAAAACAAACAAACAAACAAACAAACAAAAAAAA